rnacentral:lncRNA from 1 species
GGGCAGGCUGCCCCUUUCUGUCCCUUUGUCAGAGAAAGCCCCUGGCUGAGGGUAGAGCCAAGGCAGAGCUAGUGGUGUAGACGUCUUUAGGGAAAAAACCUGGAUGGGCAAAGUGGUCCAAAUACAGAUUUCUCAGACUGAGAAGUCAAGCUUUUUCUUGGUUUUGCAAACAAAGUGUCUUUUUUUUUUUUUUUUUUUUUUUAAGCAGAGGUUUAUUUUCUCAGAGUAGAUUUGAUUUUUCUCCGCAGGGAGUCAGAUUGCUCUGUGCCUGUGGGAUAUCUCACCUGUUUCGGGGAGCUGUGCACGUUCUUGAACAAGCAGGAGGUCCAGAUCUGAGUUUCCGUGGGAACAGGAGGGCUCUGCAGACUUGAACUUGAGUUUGCACGAAAGGAAAGACUGUGCAAAGGAAGCGGCCAUAUCUCCGAUGCAGGGUCGUUUAGGUCUGAAUACCCCAGAACUUAGGGUUGUGGGGUUACCACUUUCCAGGGUAAUUUCACUUGUCCCACUCAAGGCCAUAAUGCAAGCCCUUGUGGAGGAAGACGGACGUCCCCCAGAACAGCGGCCAUUUCCACUGUCAAUCCUACUAGCCAGACUCUGGGUCAGCAAAUGAGAACCUGAAAGAUGCACUUUCCACAGACGGAAGGGGGAAAGUUCCUUUUUCCUUUGCACUCUCACGUCGUUUUUUUGGACCUCAUGUACAGCUACGCAGGAGCUGGCACUUACAGGUGGAACUGUUUCCCAGACUCAGAGAGCGACACAAAACACAUACUUAACAUCAGCCGAUUUCCAACGUUUCAAAUGCCCUGGGCCGGGGGCACUUCCGUCACUAUUCAGUUUCCUCGUACAGUGGGGACUCCUCCUUAGCUACCUGGUCUGGAUGGCUGACCCAUUAGAUGGAACACAGCCUGUUUGGAAUCUUCUGAGCUUCUUGCUGUUGCGUACCACCCAGUGACACUUUACCACGCCUGUAACGGUGCCUGACGUACAUAGGAGCUUCAUAAGCAGGUGCGUUGAUGAACUAUACACGUUGCUAUUCUUUAGGAAAGCCCAAGUCUAGUCACAUGAAAGGCUGUAAUGUUUUGACUUUUAAGUGGUUAGUGAUGAGCAGUGAGCCUUUUGGAGAUUUUUAUUUUAUUCUGCUUUUAAAAGCACCAAACCUGAACUUCGCAUAGGGCGGAACUUACCCGGUAGGAAGGAAACCCCUGUGCCCUUGUCACCACUUCCCCUCCCUCCUGGGCUGACCUGCUCUUCCUGCUGCC